AUAAAAAUUCUUAAAGAAACGAAAACAAAAAUUCAAUUCAAUACAAUACAAAGUUAAAAAAAAAAUUAAAGAUUUAAGCAUAAUUUCUAGGAAAUGAGCAACUAAAAGUGAUUUAAGCGAUGGAAAACAAUGGUUAAAACCACAUCAAAUCCAAUACAACAAAAUUAAAUCUACCAUGGUAGUAUAGAAGAAGAGACAGACACUAUGCAGAGAGUUGAGGAGGCAUGCAAAAAAGGAAAACAAGAGAACGAAAACAAUCCUAUAUAUAAUUUAAUAAAGAAUUAUUUUAUAAGAUCUUAUGUAGCAAAAAGAAAUAUAAGAAAAAAAAUUAAUACUGGUAUCAUCAACUCCUAACAGGCAAUUAGUUAAAAACUUUCCCUAUAAAUACGAUAAAAGUAUAUAUGUAUCUAUAAAUACAUUUUAAGUUUAACGGAAUUUUUAGUUUUUUUUAUUGUCCAAAUUUUGCUGAAGCUUAAACAAAAAUGUUUUUUUCUAUGAUUUUUUCUUUCAAUACUUGUUCAUCUAAUGCUUUUAUGUCUUAGUAUUAUUUAUUUUUUUAUUCUCUUAUUUUUUUCUUCUUUAAGUUAUUUUACUACAGACUACUACCUACCACUACUACCGAAAUCGAGUAAAAAUAUGUAUCGUUUUUCCGGAAGAAGUUUUUCUUUUUUAACAAACAUUGUUUUUAUCCCCCCUUCCUCAAUACACACACACACACACACAAACGUUUGUUAAUGAGUCUAGCAACUCGACUUCUUCACCUCUUCUUUUGUUAAUUUAUAAACUAUAGUUUCUUGUCAAUUUUUAAGCAUAUAUGCUCGAGCAUUUAAUUCAAUAAAUGUGUUUCACUUUAAACAACUUUUUUUUCGUUCGUUUUAUUUCCUUAGUUUUUCAGUUAUUUGGUAAAAAAUUUCAUUUGAACAUUUCCAAACAAUGCAACUUCCUCAGUUCUGAGAACUUUACAAUUCUGCAGGCACCGUUGGAUUCGUGAAGAAAAGCUCUUUUCGUACUGCCAGCCAGAUGAAUCACCAAUAUGAAGUUUCCUAUGAAAAUUCAAAGUCGUUUUCCAGGCCUAAAACGCUGUAACUCCUUCAUUCUGUCGAAUUUUGACAACUUUGUGGUAUUUCGCAGUUUGAAAUUCGAAGACGAAUCGAAAGGCUACCUACCCCCUCGGAAAAUUUUUCAUUUUUGAUGCGAAAAAAAUUUUUGAGUUGAGUAUGAAGUUUAUAGCAAAAAUACGGUUAAGAACAUCUCUUGUGUUGUUUCUUCAAAAACACCAGCUCAGAAUCCCAUUAUUGAUAUCAAAAAAAAAA
rnacentral:sRNA from 1 species